UACAGAGGUGGCAAGCGUUGUUCGGACUUACUGGGCGUAAAGGGCGCGUAGGCGGUUCGUUAAGUCCUGUGUGAAAUCCCCCGGCUCAACUGGGGAACUGCACAGGAAACUAGCGGGCUUGAGUUCGGGAGAGGGAAGCGGAAUUCCGGGUGUAGCGGUGAAAUGCGUAGAUAUCCGGAGGAACACCGGUGGCGAAGGCGGCUUCCUGGACCGACACUGACGCUGAGGCGCGAAAGCUAGGGGAGCAAACAGG
rnacentral:rRNA from 1 species